rnacentral:tRNA from 1 species
GGGCAGGUGGCAGAGCGGUCAAUUGCACCAGACUGUAAAUCUGGCGGACAUCGUCCUACGUGGGUUCAAAUCCCUCCCUGCCCACAA